CGCGGCCUAUCAGCUUGUUGGUGAGGUAAUGGCUCACCAAGGCGUCGACGGGUAGCCGGCCUGAGAGGGUGACCGGCCACACUGGGACUGAGACACGGCCCAGACUCCUGCGGGAGGCAGCAGUGGGGAAUAUUGCACAAUGGGCGGAAGCCUGAUGCAGCAACGCCGCGUGAGGGAUGACGGCCUUCGGGUUGUAAACCUCUUUUAGCAGGGAAGAAGCGAGAGUGACGGUACCUGCAGAAAAAGCACCGGCUAACUACGUGCCAGCAGCCGCGGUAAUACGUAGGGUGCAAGCGUUAUCCGGAAUUAUUGGGCGUAAGAGCUCGUAGGCGGUUUGUCGCGUCUGCUGUGAAAUCCCGAGGCUCAACCUCGGGCCUGCAGUGGGUACGGGCAGACUAGAGUGCGGUAGGGGAGAUUGGAAUUCCUGGUGUAGCGGUGGAAUGCGCAGAUAUCAGGAGGAACACCGAUGGCGAAGGCAGAUCUCUGGGCCGUAACUGACGCUGAGGAGCGAAAGGGUGGGGAGCAAACAGGCUUAGAUACCCUGGUAGUCCACCCCGUAAACGUUGGGAACUAGUUGUGGGGUCCUUUCCACGGAUUCCGUGACGCAGCUAACGCAUUAAGUUCCCCGCCUGGGGAGUACGG
rnacentral:rRNA from 1 species